UGCUUGGAGAGUUUGAUCCUGGCUCAGAACGAACGCUGGCGGCAUGCUUAACACAUGCAAGUCGAACGAGAAAGCACCUUCGGGUGUGAGUAGAGUGGCGCACGGGUGAGUAACGCGUAGGUAAUCUGCCUCAUAGCGGGGGAUAACCAGGAGAAAUUCUGGCUAAUACCGCAUACGAUCUACGACAUGGAAAAAGUAGAUGAAAGAAUGCCUCUCCUUGGAAGCAUUUACUAUGAGAUGAGCCUGCGUUGCAUUAGCUUGUUGGUGGGGUAACGGCCUACCAAGGCGACGAUGCAUAGCUGGUCUGAGAGGACGAUCAGCCACACUGGAACUGAGACACGGUCCAGACUCCUACGGGAGGCAGCAGUGGGGAGUAU
rnacentral:ncRNA from 1 species